CCAUAGCAUCAGUGACCCACCCGAUCCCAUCUCGAACUCGGCCGUGAAACCUGAUUGCGCCGAUGGUACUACCGCUUAAGCGUUGGAAGAGUAGGGCGUCGCCAGGC
rnacentral:rRNA from 1 species